rnacentral:rRNA from 1 species
AUUGAACGCUGGCGGCAGGCCUAACACAUGCAAGUCGAGCGGGGUUUUCGGACCUAGCGGCGGACGGGUGAGUAAUGCGUAGGAAGCUACCCGAUAGAGGGGGAUACCAGUUGGAAACGACUGUUAAUACCGCAUAAUGUCUACGGACCAAAGUGUGGGACCUUCGGGCCACAUGCUAUCGGAUGCGCCUACGUGGGAUUAGCUAGUUGGUGAGGUAAUGGCUCACCAAGGCGACGAUCCCUAGCUGGUUUGAGAGGAUGAUCAGCCACACUGGAACUGAGACACGGUCCAGACUCCUACGGGAGGCAGCAGUGGGGAAUAUUGGACAAUGGGCGCAAGCCUGAUCCAGCCAUGCCGCGCGUGUGAAGAAGGCCUUCGGGUUGUAAAGCACUUUCAGUAGGGAGGAAGGGUUAAGUGUUAAUAGUACUUAACUUUGACGUUACCUACAGAAGAAGCACCGGCUAACUCUGUGCCAGCAGCCGCAGUAACAC